UACGUAGGGCGCAAGCGUUGUCCGGAAUUAUUGGGCGUAAAGAGCUCGUAGGCGGCUUGUCACGUCGGAUGUGAAAGCCCGAGGCUUAACCUCGGGUCUGCAUUCGAUACGGGCUAGCUAGAGUGUGGUAGGGGAGAUCGGAAUUCCUGGUGUAGCGGUGAAAUGCGCAGAUAUCAGGAGGAACACCGGUGGCGAAGGCGGAUCUCUGCGCCAUUACUGACGCUGAGGAGCGAAAGCGUGGGGAGCGAACAGG
rnacentral:rRNA from 1 species